rnacentral:rRNA from 1 species
UACGUAGGGACCGAGCGUUGUCCGGAUUCAUUGGGCGUAAAGAGCUCGUAGGCGGCCACUCAAGUCGAAUGUGAAACCUCGAGGCUUAACCUCGAGCCUGCAUUCGAUACUGGGCGGCUAGAGUCUGGUAGGGGGAUCUGGAAUUCCUGGUGUAGCGGUGGAAUGCGCAGAUAUCAGGAGGAACACCGGUGGCGAAGGCGGGAUCCUGGACCAAUAUUGACGCUGAGGAGCGAAAGCCAGGGGAGCAAACGGG